GAUGAACGCUGGCGGUAUGCCUAACACAUGCAAGUCGUACGAGAGUUUUUAACUCUAGUGGCGGACGGGUGAGUAACACGUGAGAAUUUGCCUUUAGGAGGGGGAUAACAAUUGGAAACGAAUGCUAAUACCCCAUAUGCUUUUGAGUGAAAUGGAUUUUAUCCGCCUAGAGAGAAGCUCGCGGCUGAUUAGCUUGUUGGUAAGGUAAGAGCUUACCAAGGCGACGAUCAGUAUCUGGUUUGAGAGGACGAUCAGACACACUGGAACUGAGACACGGUCCAGACUCCUACGGGAGGCAGCAGUGGGGAAUUUUCCACAAUGGGCGAAAGCCUGACGGAGCAAUACCGCGUGAGGGAAGAAUGCCUAUGGGUUGUAAACCUCUUUUUUCAGGGAGGAAUAAAAUGACGUGUACCUGAAGAAUAAGCAUCGGCUAACUCCGUG
rnacentral:rRNA from 1 species